rnacentral:rRNA from 1 species
UACGUAGGGGGCAAGCGUUGUCCGGAUUUAUUGGGCGUAAAAGGCUUGUAGGUGGCCACGCCAAGUCGGAUGUGAAAUCUCCCGGCUCAACUGGGAGGGGUCAUUCGAUACUGGUGGGCUCGAGGCCGGUAGGGGGAAGUGGAAUUCCCGGUGUAGUGGUGGAAUGCGUAGAUAUCGGGAGGAACACCAGUGGCGAAGGCGACUACCUGGCCUGUUCUUGACGCUGAGGCGCGAAAGCUAGGGGAGCAAACGGG